rnacentral:sRNA from 1 species
UGGGGAUCAGCGGCCUCCGGGCCCCUGUCCCCCAAAUGAAGUGGCGGUCGCGCCGCAGCCUCCCCUGCGUAGUAGCACAACCUCGCACCGGAGAGCGGCACGGCCACGCCUUGAAACCCCCAUAUUUCUAAGGUUGACCUCGGAUCAGGUAGGAAUACCCGCUGAACUUAAGCAUAUCAAUAAGCGGAGGAAAAGAAACCAACAGGGAUUGCCUCAGUAACGGCGAGUGAAGCGGCAACAGCUCAAAUUUGAAAUCUGGCCUCACGGUCCGAGUUGUAAUUUGCAGAGGAUGCUUUUGGCGAGGUGCCUUCCGAGUUCCCUGGAACGGGACGCCAUAGAGGGUGAGAGCCCCGUACGGUAGGACCACCGAGCCUCUGUAAAGCUCCUUCGACGAGUCGAGUAGUUUGGGAAUGCUGCUCUAAAUGGGAGGUGUACGUCUUCUAAAGCUAAAUACCGGCCAGAGACCGAUAGCGCACAAGUAGAGUGAUCGAAAGAUGAAAAGCACUUUGAAAAGAGGGUUAAAAAGUACGUGAAAUUGUUGAAAGGGAAGCAUUUAUGACCAGACUUGGACUUGGUUGAACAUCCGGCGUUCUCGCCGGUGCACUCUGCCAGUUCAGGCCAGCAUCAGUUUGCUCCGGGGGAUAAAGGCGGUGGGAAUGUGGCUCCCUCGGGAGUGUUAUAGCCCGCCGUGUAAUGCCCUGGGGCGGACUGAGGAACGCG